rnacentral:tRNA from 2 species
UCCUGGUUUGUUCAGCUUGUAGAGCGCUUUACUGGCAAUGGAAAGGUUCCUGGUUCGAUACCAGGACCAGGAG